UGGGGAAUAUUGGACAAUGGGCGCAAGCCUGAUCCAGCCAUGCCGCGUGAGUGAUGAAGGCCUUAGGGUUGUAAAGCUCUUUCACCGAUGAAGAUAAUGACGGUAGUCGGAGAAGAAGCCCCGGCUAACUUCGUGCCAGCAGCCGCGGUAAUACGAAGGGGGCUAGCGUUGUUCGGAUUUACUGGGCGUAAAGCGCACGUAGGCGGUUUGUUAAGUCAGAGGUGAAAUCCCGGAGCUCAACUCCGGAACUGCCUUUGAUACUGGCAAGCUAGAGUCCGGAAGAGGUAAGUGGAACUCCUAGUGUAGAGGUGGAAUUCGUAGAUAUUAGGAAGAACACCAGUGGCGAAGGCGGCUUACUGGUCCGGAACUGACGCUGAGGUGCGAAAGCGUGGGGAGCAAACA
rnacentral:rRNA from 1 species